GUGAAUCAUCAAAUUUUUGAACGCAUAUUGCACUCUCUGGUAUUCCGGAGGGUAUGCCUGUUUGAGGGUAAUUAAAAAGAAUCUGUGAGGAAUUUGUUUGGGGAAUGGUUAUGAGUGCUCCGCGUUUAUAGCGGUAGCUUGAAAUAAAUGGUCAAGUCUCAUUGUGGUCGAGACGCGUAAUAAUAUUAUUUCGCGAAAUCUUCAUUAUGUGACUAUCAAGUUUUGCUGGAUACAAAUGUGGUUUGGAUGAGAUCAAUACAA
rnacentral:misc_RNA from 1 species